rnacentral:lncRNA from 1 species
UGUUGAUCUCCUUUUUUUAAACCCUCAAGGGACCUGGAGGAGCGGGAUGUAUCUCUGGAACCUUAACUAGGCAAAAAAUGGUAUUCUGGUUGGGAAUGCAGCUGACCCAAGACAAGAAGCUUCAAGAACUGAGAGAGGGUCGCAGAAAGGUCAAGGGAAAGGAAGGUGGGGGAUGAGGGAGCUCAAAUGGAAUGUUUCAGGCACUGUAAGCUUUUAAAUAAAUAUUCCCACCCCUGCCCUUGGCUUAUCAAGUUCUCUUAACCUUUGAAGUUGGCUGAUCUUGUCACCCUCAAACUCGCUGCAUUCUAGUCGAUAGAGAUGGGAUCCGGUUUGAGCUGUCACAUUGUCCCAGAAACAGAUGCAAAUGAACACUGGGAGGUGUGAUAUCAGGAGAGCAGUAUCUGUGGGGGCCCUGGGGCCUGCUGGGGAAGCCAGAGUACAGCCUCCUGUGGAGAGGGCCUCCGGUGGAGGGGCCAGUGUGCAGAAUGAUGAGGGGAUCUGCUCACCGGCUUUAGAGGCGAGAAUCUGGGAGUGAGGAGGUUACCUGGGCGCCUCGUCUCUGCUUUUCCAGAUAUUGUGCGCUUAAUGGGCAGCCUGCAGAACAGGGAUGUGCCCAGCCCUCUCUCUGCUGCCUUGAAAUCUUCAAAACAAGAGUUGGAGGUCGGCUGCAGCAUCCUGGGAAACACGGCCUCCUUCAGGGUGCGGGGGAGGAAAGGGAGUGGCUGAGGAGCCAGACAUCUGGGUCUGGAUCGGGGCUUCACCGCUUUCUUGCUCUGUUUUGGAAGAAGGCAGAAGCAGCCCUGUGGAUUAAGACCCUAGCCCCAGAAGACGCAGAACCUUUGACCUCGAGCUGCCCUGUGGAAUCUGAGCCACCUCUGGAGAAACUCAGAAUGACUGAGCCUGUUAAUGGACUCCAUCCCUUUGUGGAGUAUCUGAAAUUGUGGUCAUUUAGAGCAUUAUUAUGGAAUUGUUUAUUGACCUGUAUAAACACAUACACCAUUUAUCACUAUAAAUGUAACAGGUGCCUCCCAGGCUGCCAGCUGGAGGUACUUUAGGGUCCCCAAAUAGGAACAGAGCAGUAUUUUUCAGGCUCGGCUCUCUUCAUAAAGAACUGCAGAAACCUCAGACUUCUUUAAAUUCCCCCUUUGGGUUCCAGGCAGGAGAGGUUUGGGGGAGGGACUCUGUGGCAUCUAGAAAAUUGCUGUCUUUCUCCACAUUCUACAUAGUUACCUGACUUUCCAUGGAAAAUGCUAAUGGUAGAGCAACCGCUCACGACACAUACUGCUCUUGUCUUUUUCAUCUCGAUGGAGGGGAGUUCUCAAUAUUUCACAGCAAUGGCCUCAUUCAUUCAUUCAACAAACACUUAAAUUGAAUGCCUAUUAUGUGCUAAGCAUUGCUCUAGGUUGUAGGAUUAUGGCUCCAAACAAAGCAGAUCCAGUCCCUCCUCUCAUGGUGCUUAUAAUCUAGUGAGAGAAAGAGAUGCUCUAUGAAAAAGUCAGUACAAGUCAGGUGAUGACAUGUGCUACAAAGGAGAGUAAGGCAAGAAAAGGGGUGUAGAGCAGCGGUGGAGUGAGUGCUAUUUAAUACAGAGAAGGUGAUAUUUGAGCAGAGAUUUGGAGGAAGCGAGGGAGUGAGCCAUGUGGAUAUCUGAAGAAAGAGCAUUCCAGGCAAAGAGAUAGCAAGUUCAAAGGAAUACAAGCAGGCUUGACAUAUUUAAGGAACAGCAAGAAGGCCAGUAGAGAUGGAAGGGAAUAACGGAGGGAGGGGAGAGUAGGAGCUAGUGUGGGCAGGUCACAUGGGACCUUAUAGGCCAUGUUGUUCCAUUGAGUUGUUCCUUUGAGUCUCACUCUGAGUGAGACAGGGAGCACUGAAGGGUUCUGAGCAGAUGAGGGAGAUGAUCUGACUUCUAGUUUAACAACAUCUGACGGCUGUGUGGAGAACAGACUGUAGCGGGUGAGGGGCGAGGGUAGAAGCAGUGCUAUCAGUUAGGAGGCCACUGCACUUGUCAAGGGGAGGGAUGGGGACGGCUUGUAAUAGGGUGAUAAUGGUGGCUGUGCUGAGCAAUGGUCAAAUUCUGGGUAUAUUUAGAAGGAAGGGUUAACAGAAUUUGUGACGGUUUGAAUAUGAGUGUGAGAGACAGAGAGGAUGACUAAAGAUUUUGGCUUUAGCAAUUGGUUAAAAUGGAAAAGCCAUUUACUGAGGUGGAGACAACUGAAGGAGGAUUAGGUUUGGGUGGUAAAACAAGUGUUCCAUUUUGACGUAUAAAAUGUUGAGUAAGUGGUUGGAAAUGUGGGGUUGGCAUAAGGGAAGAUUUGGGGUUGGAGAGAUACAUUUGGGAGCACAGCAUACAAAGAAUAUUUUAAGCCGGGUACUAAACGAAGUCAGAGGGAGUGCAGAUGAAGAAGAUGCGGUCUAAGGAUGGAGUCUGAAGCCCUUUGAUGCUUAGAGGUCAGAAGAGAGUGAGAAAGAGUGACCACUGAGGUCUUCUUGCAAAUAAAGUGAAGAAAGUAUUUAAGAAGGAAUGAUCA